rnacentral:rRNA from 1 species
GACGAACGCUGGCGGCGUGCCUAAUACAUGCAAGUCGAACGCAGUGGGGACGGGUGAGUAACCCGUGGGUAACCUCCCAUAAGAGGGGAAAACACUGCGAAACAGGUGCUAAACCGAUACUGAUGGAUGGUCGCGCGGUGCAUUAGAUAGUUGGUGAGGUAACGGCUCACCAACGCCACGAUGCAUAGCCGACCUGAGAGGGUGAUCGGCCACACUGUGACUGAGACACGGCCAAGACUCCUACGGGAGGCAGAAGUAGGGAAUCUUCGACAAUGGACGAAAGUCGUACGUAGCAACGCCGCGUGAGUGAAGAAGGUUUUAGGAUCGUAAAACUCUGUUGUUAGAGAAGCGGUAUCUAAAGACAAAGCCACGGCUAACUACGUGCCAGCAGCGGCGGUAAUAC